rnacentral:tRNA from 1 species
GGAGAGGUGGCCGAGCGGCUGAAGGCGCAGGUUUGCUAAACCUGAAUACGCCCAAAAGGUGUAUCGAGGGUUCAAAUCCCUCCCUCUCCGCCA